rnacentral:rRNA from 1 species
UACGUAGGGUGCAAGCGUUAAUCGGAAUUACUGGGCGUAAAGCGUGCGCAGGCGGUUUUGUAAGUCUGUCGUGAAAGCCCCGGGCUUAACCUGGGAAUUGCGAUGGAGACUGCAAGGCUUGAAUCUGGCAGAGGGGGGUAGAAUUCCACGUGUAGCAGUGAAAUGCGUAGAGAUGUGGAGGAACACCGAUGGCGAAGGCAGCCCCCUGGGUCAAGAUUGACGCUCAUGCACGAAAGCGCGGGGAGCAAACAGG